GGGUGCAUCACUGGGCAAUGACUUCUUUGGCCGUUGGCAAUUCAACUGCAUUUCAUUUAGGUGAUUAGGUUGAGAAGCUUAGUUACUGCCAAAGAAGAUUUGUCCAGCAAUUCACCC
rfam:Lupinus angustifolius cultivar Tanjil chromosome LG01, whole genome shotgun sequence.